AUUGAACGCUGGCGGCAUGCUUUACACAUGCCAGUCGAACGGCAGCGCGGGCUUCGGCCUGGCGGCGAGUGGCGAACGGGUGAGUAAUACAUCGGAACGUGCCCAGUAGUGGGGGAUAGCUCGGCGAAAGCCGGAUUAAUACCGCAUACGACCUGAGGGUGAAAGCGGGGGAUCUUCGGACCUCGCGCUAUUGGAGCGGCCGAUGGCAGAUUAGCUAGUUGGUGGGGUAAAGGCCUACCAAGGCGACGAUCUGUAGCUGGUCUGAGAGGACGACCAGCCACACUGGGACUGAGACACGGCCCAGACUCCUACGGGAGGCAGCAGUGGGGAAUUUUGGACAAUGGGUGAAAGCCUGAUCCAGCAAUGCCGCGUGUGUGAUGAAGGCCUUCGGGUUGUAAAGCACUUUUGGCGGGAACGAAAAGGACUGUGCCAAUACCACGGUUCGAUGACGGUACCCGCAGAAUAAGCACCGGCUAACUACGUG
rnacentral:rRNA from 1 species